CCUACGGGGGGCUGCAGUAAGGAAUAUUGGUCAAUGCCCGGAAGGGUGAACCAGCCAUGCCGCGUGAAGGAUGACUGCCCUCUGGGUUGUAAACUUCUUUUGGAUGGGACGAAAAAACGGGAUUUAUCCUGGACUGACGGUACCAUCAGAAUAAGCACCGGCUAACUCCGUGCCAGCAGCCGCGGUAAUACGGAGGGUGCAGGCGUUAUCCGGAAUCACUGGGUUGAAGGGGUGCGUAGAAGUUUUUGGUGAAAGCAUGCAGCUUAACUGUAUAAUUGCCUUUGAUACUGUAAGACUUGAAUAAGGUUGAGGUUGGCGGAAUGUGACAUGUAGCGGUGAAAUGCUUAGAUAUGUCAUAGAACACCGAUUGCGAAGGCAGCUGACUGGGCCUUUAUUGACGCUGAGGCACGAAAGCGUGGGGAGCGAACAGGAUUAGAUACCCCUGUAGUC
rnacentral:rRNA from 1 species